UGCCUAUGGGACGCAGCAGUGGGGAAUAUUGCACAAUGGGGGGAACCCUGAUGCAGCGACGCCGCGUGAGUGAAGAAGUAUUUCGGUAUGUAAAGCUCUAUCAGCAGGGAAGAAAAUGACGGUACCUGACUAAGAAGCCCCGGCUAACUACGUGCCAGCAGCCGCGGUAAUACGUAGGGGGCAAGCGUUAUCCGGAUUUACUGGGUGUAAAGGGAGCGUAGACGGCAGUGCAAGUCUGGAGUGAAAGGCGGGGGCUCAACCCCCGGACUGCUCUGGAAACUGUACGGCUGGAGUGCAGGAGAGGG
rnacentral:rRNA from 1 species